CAACUGGGGAACCUGCCCCAUAGUCUGGGAUACCACUUGGAAACAGGUGCUAAUACCGGAUAAGAAAGCGGAUCGCAUGAUCAGCUUUUAAAAGGCGGCGUAAGCUGUCGCUAUGGGAUGGCCCCGCGGUGCAUUAGCUAGUUGGUAAGGUAAAGGCUUACCAAGGCGAUGAUGCAUAGCCGAGUUGAGAGACUGAUCGGCCACAUUGGGACUGAGACACGGCCCAAACUCCUACGGGAGGCAGCAGCC
rnacentral:rRNA from 1 species